rnacentral:rRNA from 1 species
AUAUUGGACAAUUGGCGAAAGCCUUAUCCAUCCAUGCCGCGUGUGUGACUAAGGUCUUCGGAUUGUACAGCACUUUUAGUUUGGAGGAAGGGCAGUUAGUUAAUACCUUUCUGCUUUGACGUUACCGACAGAAUCAGCACCGGCUAACUUCGUGCCACGCGCCGCGGUAAUACGAAGGGUUCAAGCGUUAAUCGGAAUUACUGGGCGAAAAGCGCGCAUAGGUGGUUUGUUAAGUUGGAAGUGAAAGCCCCGGGCUCAACCUGGGAACUGCUUUCAAAACUGGCAAGCUAGAGUAUGGGAGAGGGUGGUGGAAUUUCCUGUGUAGCGGUGAAAUGCGUAGAUAUAGGAGGGAACACCAGUGGCGAAGGCGACCACCUGGGCUAAUACUGACACUGAGGUGCGAAAGCGUGGGGAGAAAACA